UGUGGCUGGGGGUGAAAGGCCAAUCAAACCGGGAGAUAGCUGGUUCUCCCCGAAAGCUAUUUAGGUAGCGCCUCGUGAAUUCAUCUCCGGGGGUAGAGCACUGUUUCGGCAAGGGGGUCAUCCCGACUUACCAACCCGAUGCAAACUGCGAAUACCGGAGAAUGUUAUCACGGGAGACACACGGCGGGUGCUAACGUCCGUCGUGAAGAGGGAAACAACCCAGACCGCCAGCUAAGGUCCCAAAGUCAUGGUUAAGUGGGAAACGAUGUGGGAAGGCCCAGACAGCCAGGAUGUUGGCUUAGAAGCAGCCAUCAUUUAAAGAAAGCGUAAUAGCUCACUGGUCGAGUCGGCCUGCGCGGAAGAUGUAACGGGGCUAAACCAUGCACCGAAGCUGCGGCAGCGACACUGUGUGUUGUUGGGUAGGGGAGCGUUCUGUAAGCCUGUGAAGGUGUGCUGUGAGGCAUGCUGGAGGUAUCAGAAGUGCGAAUGCUGACAUAAGUAACGAUAAAGCGGGUGAAAAGCCCGCUCGCCGGAAGACCAAGGGUUCCUGUCCAACGUUAAUCGGGGCAGGGUGAGUCGACCCCUAAGGCGAGGCCGAAAGGCGUAGUCGAUGGGAAACAGGUUAAUAUUCCUGUACUUGGUGUUACUGCGAAGGGGGGACGGAGAAGGCUAUGUUGGCCGGGCGACGGUUGUCCCGGUUUAAGCGUGUAGGCUGGUUUUCCAGGCAAAUCCGGAAAAUCAAGGCUGAGGCGUGAUGACGAGGCACUACGGUGCUGAAGCAACAAAUGCCCUGCUUCCAGGAAAAGCCUCUAAGCAUCAGGUAACAUCAAAUCGUACCCCAAACCGACACAGGUGGUCAGGUAGAGAAUACCAAGGCGCUUGAGAGAACUCGGGUGAAGGAACUAGGCAAAAUGGUGCCGUAACUUCGGGAGAAGGCACGCUGAUAUGUAGGUGAAGUCCCUCGCGGAUGGAGCUGAAAUCAGUCGAAGAUACCAGCUGGCUGCAACUGUUUAUUAAAAACACAGCACUGUGCAAACACGAAAGUGGACGUAUACGGUGUGACGCCUGCCCGGUGCCGGAAGGUUAAUUGAUGGGGUCAGCGCAAGCGAAGCUCUUGAUCGAAGCCCCGGUAAACGGCGGCCGUAACUAUAACGGUCCUAAGGUAGCGAAAUUCCUUGUCGGGUAAGUUCCGACCUGCACGAAUGGCGUAAUGAUGGCCAGGCUGUCUCCACCCGAGACUCAGUGAAAUUGAACUCGCUGUGAAGAUGCAGUGUACCCGCGGCAAGACGGAAAGACCCCGUGAACCUUUACUAUAGCUUGACACUGAACAUUGAGCCUUGAUGUGUAGGAUAGGUGGGAGGCUUUGAAGUGUGGACGCCAGUCUGCAUGGAGCCGACCUUGAAAUACCACCCUUUAAUGUUUGAUGUUCUAACGUGGACCCGUGAUCCGGGUUGCGGACAGUGUCUGGUGGGUAGUUUGACUGGGGCGGUCUCCUCCUAAAGAGUAACGGAGGAGCACGAAGGUUGGCUAAUCCUGGUCGGACAUCAGGAGGUUAGUGCAAUGGCAUAAGCCAGCUUGACUGCGAGCGUGACGGCGCGAGCAGGUGCGAAAGCAGGUCAUAGUGAUCCGGUGGUUCUGAAUGGAAGGGCCAUCGCUCAACGGAUAAAAGGUACUCCGGGGAUAACAGGCUGAUACCGCCCAAGAGUUCAUAUCGACGGCGGUGUUUGGCACCUCGAUGUCGGCUCAUCACAUCCUGGGGCUGAAGUAGGUCCCAAGGGUAUGGCUGUUCGCCAUUUAAAGUGGUACGCGAGCUGGGUUUAGAACGUCGUGAGACAGUUCGGUCCCUAUCUGCCGUGGGCGCUGGAGAACUGAGGGGGGCUGCUCCUAGUACGAGAGGACCGGAGUGGACGCAUCACUGGUGUUCGGGUUGUCAUGCCAAUGGCACUGCCCGGUAGCUAAAUGCGGAAGAGAUAAGUGCUGAAAGCAUCUAAGCACGAAACUUGCCCCGAGAUGAGUUCUCCCUGACCCUUUAAGGGUCCUGAAGGAACGUUGAAGACGACGACGUUGAUAGGCCGGGUGUGUAAGCGCAGCGAUGCGUUGAGCUAACCGGUACUAAUGAACCGUGAGGCUUAACCUU
rnacentral:rRNA from 1 species